UACGUAGGGUGCGAGCGUUGUCCGGAAUUAUUGGGCGUAAAGAGCUCGUAGGCGGUCUGUCGCGUCUGCUGUGAAAACCUAGGGCUUAACUCUGGGCGUGCAGUGGGUACGGGCAGGCUAGAGUGCGGUAGGGGAGACUGGAAUUCCUGGUGUAGCGGUGAAAUGCGCAGAUAUCAGGAGGAACACCGGUGGCGAAGGCGGGUCUCUGGGCCGUAACUGACGCUGGAGGAGCGAAGCAUGGGAGCGAACAGGA
rnacentral:rRNA from 1 species